AAGGGCAGAAGAGGCGCCAUGUUGGUUGAGGGCCUUCGACGGCGAUAGGUCGGCCUUUGGGCCAAUCCCAGGCCGGGCGGUGGGCGGGGCCAGCCCUUUCCCGCUUUUUCUCCUCCCAGCUGUUUCUCAGCCGAUUCUCCUCAGCUGUUUCCCACGCCCGGGACGCCGAGGCAGUUUUGGCGCCUUUUUAUUACAAUAAAGGAUUAUUAGCAGUACUGUUUAAAUUAUUUUUAUUUUUAUUAUUGGAAAAGGCGUGGUGAAGUUUGCAAUACAUGAAAGAGGGUCUAUAUGCUGAAUUCCUGCUCUGAAAAGGAGGAGGAGGAGGAAACUUCGCGUGAGGAAGGGAGAAGAGAAGGUGGAGGAAAAGUCAGCUGCAGACGUGAAGAGAUCACCGAAAAGCAGCUUUUGGUAAUGAUGCCCACAGAACAAGGACAUCAUCCAGAACUGCCUCCCACUGUCUCUCUCAGCAGAUCGGCUGUUCUGCAUCUGGCACAACUGGACUGCCCAAGGCUGCCAUUGGGGCGCAGAGCAGGUGAGGAGCAUCAGCAUGACUGUCUAGUUUUUAAUUUGUGAUGAUUUUUUUUAUAUGUACACAAAUAUCCAAGAAGCACAACUGCCAGACACUUCUCUUGACACCAAUCUUCUUUUUUAUAUAUAUAAUGACCUUUAUUAUUUAUUUAUUUAUUUAGUUUUAGUUA